CAAGCCGCCACGGGAAUACGUAGGUGGCAAGCGUUGUCCGGAAUUACUGGGCGUAAAGCGUGCGCAGGCGGUUCGUUAAGACAGAUGUGAAAUCCCCGGGCUUAACCUGGGAACUGCAUUUGUGACUGGCUAGCUAGAGUAUGGCAGAGGGGGGUAGAAUUCCACGUGUAGCAGUGAAAUGCGUAGAGAUGUGGAGGAAUACCAGUGGCGAAGGCGGCUCUCUGGACUGUAACUGACGCUGAGGCGCGAAAGCGUGGGGAGCAAACAGGAUUAGAUACCCGCGUAGUCCCUGUCUCUUAUA
rnacentral:rRNA from 1 species